CCCUGACUAAUUGUUCCACAUGGAACAUUAGACACUAGCCAAGACAGGAGAAUCACAUG
rnacentral:sRNA from 12 species